ensembl:snoRNA
GUGCACCUUUUAUUGACAUGCUAUUUUCUGUUUGUUGAGCAGUGAUAUUGCUUAUGUGCUGUACAAAUAGAUGAAGGUUAAUUAGCAGUAUAACUAGAUAGACAUGCUGCCAGUCUCCUUCACACGGGU